rnacentral:misc_RNA from 1 species
GAUACAAAAUAGUAAGAAAUGAGACUACACUGUGGGAAAGAGCCGAGGUUCCAGUGUCCACACUGUCCCAAACUUUGCUACCAGCGUGGCAACCUCGAUAGUCACAUCAGGAAUGUACAGUCCAAUCUGGUACAGUACAGGUGAGCCAACAGAACAGAUACAAAAUAGUAAGAAAUGAGACUACACUGUGGGAAAGAGCUGAGGUUCCGGUGUCCACACUGUCCCAAACUUUGCUACCAGCGUGGCAACCUCGAUAGUCACAUCAGGAAUGUACACUCCAAUCUGGUACAGUACAGGUGAGCCAACAGAACAGAUACAAAAUAGUAAGAAAUGAGACUACACUGUGGGAAAGAGCCGAGGUUCCAGUGUCCACACUGUCCCAAACUUUGCUACCAGCGUGGCAACCUCGAUAGUCAUAUCAGGAAUGUACACUCCAAUCUGGUACAGUACAGGUGAGCCAACAGAACAGAUACAAAAUAGUAAGAAAUGAGACUACACUGUGGGAAAGAGCCGAGGUUCCGGUGUCCACACUGUCCCAAACUUUGCUACCAGCGUGGCAACCUCGAUAGUCACAUCAGGAAUGUACACUCCAAUCUGGUACAGUACAGUAACGAAUUUCUUAGUAACAAGGAAGAGUUGGGUAAUACCACUGGAGGACUACAACACUAGGCAACAUGUUCCAGCGACUGCUCCCGAUAUACAAUAUACGUAUAUACAGUGCUUUAUGUUAGUGGUUAUUAUUAGAUAGUAUUAUGUAAUACUUGCUCUCAUUUAGCUUAUGGUAUUCAACUUCAUUUCUGACAUGAAUAAAACUACUCUAUAUAGGAAUUGAAACAUAUUCUGAAAACAACGUUUUUGGGAAGAAAUACAAAUAACAUGGGACUUAUCAAUGUUGUUUCUAUUUACUUAAAAUAUCUACUAGAUCAACAAAAUUGAUACGUUUUCACGAUUCAAUAACAUACCUAGUUAAAUUUGUAUAACCUUUUAUACGGUUUUGAAAUUUAUUAUUUACACUGCCAAUUUCACUGCCUUAAAAAAACUUAUUUAUAGUCAUAAUUAAGUAGUUUUGUGUUAUUUUAAAUUUCGUUGUGUUCCUUAAUGUGUAGCUGUACAACAACUUCAUGUGUAAAUGUACUUAUAUUUAAGAUUUUAUAAAAUAAUUUUAUAUUAUGAGCUUUAUUAUGUGUUGUUGUUUUAUAAUUUGAGCUUUAACUUAUAGUAUUAUUAUUUAUUUAUUUUUUUAUUUACUUACAAACUCAAAAUCUUAACCGUCUUCUAUAGUAUAGAAGCAGUGAAAGCAAAAGAGCAUGCCUAAGCACCUAUUUGAAAUAACUUCAUUAUUAAUUUCAUAGUAUUAUCUCUCUGGGCUUUUAAACUGUAUUAUUUAUUUUAAAAUCUUUAUAAUGUAGUAUACUUUCAUAAAGACUUUAUAACAAAAAACUAGUUUGCUGUAAUGAUCUUAUAUUUUUAUUUUUUUAUUUUAAAAAGUGUAUUGAUUAAUUCAAACUUUUUCUAAGCAUCUCAUUAUAAAGUCGUAUUCUGUUGUUCUUUCAGCUUUUUGGGUACCUUGACUUUUGUCAGAGUACAGACUUAUUGUUAGUAAAUAGACUAGAACUCACGCGAUGGGUAUGUUGUCAGACACUCACGGUAAUGCUUCAAUAUUGAUUAUGGUAUAAUAAAGUUUAGCUGCUAUUUUUAUAUCUACUUUUUGGUUAUUAUUUUUUAAUUUAUGGAUUUUUAUGGGUAUUAAAUUAGGAAUAUGAACUUGCAAAUGUAAUCAGAAUUGACAGUCAUUUUCAGAAGAGUUUAAGGUUCCUCUGUUGAUUUCAUCUUCCAGAUGACUGAUGGAUCAUUAUAUCUCCUCUUCACCCUUCUUUCCUUGAUCAUGUCCAUCAUGCCAUGUCUUCCAGAAUAGAGAAAUACUUGUAGUAGACACAACUAAUAGCCAGCUGUCAGGAGAAAUGUAAAGCUAAGUAACAACGGUCGAAUUACACAGAAAGAUAUCAUUUUGCUAAUAACUUGGAAGACUUGAUAUUGCGGAUUAUAGAUUUUCCCUUCUCUUCAAUUGUAUUCUAUUAAUAACAAAGUAGCAUGACAUCUUCACUUUCACCCCUCUAGGUAAACACAGGCUGCUAGAUCACUGUUAUUGAUACAUUGUUACAGUCUGAGUUGAAAAGAAAGAAUACAUGCUCAUUUUGACACAGAGGAUCCAUCUUAGUAUUUAUUUGAUUUUAAAUAUCUCAACCAUUAUAGUCAAUCUUGAAAGUAUUAAUAUGUUUAGGUUGCUGUUUACGACUAAUUAUUUUCCAUUCUCUUAGGGCAUUAAUGAUUUAUUUAAAAUUUGUUUGUUUAUUCUUCAAAUUUAAGUUAGCAACUUUAAAUCUCUUCGACCUUUACUGUGUUGUCAGUGACUAAUAACUCAACAAUUUCUCUAUGGUUUAAAAAUGUUAUCUCCUCGUCCUUCAAUAAAAGUCUGUUAGGGAGGAAGAAAUCACAUCUAGAACUGCUCUCUUCCCAGCAAUUCUAAGAACACUAAAUCCCACAUUCUAUAGAAAGGAUGUAGAUUCUGACAAGUUCAUGAAAUCAUCAAAAUUCAGAUUGCAUACAACAGGUGGGUCAGCAGUCUUGUUUUCUAUUACUGUAUCGCAAAACUCUCCUUUUACUCCUUCUUAGAUUUGGAGAAUUGUCUCCACUAAAUUUGUUGCAGUUAGGACAUAGAAAACUUGAAUACCGUGGGGAGUUGCCAAUGUUUUCCAAUCCUUCAACUGGAUGUAUCGGCCAAUAAGUAGGCUCAUAUAAUAUAAUGUAUAAUAUAAAUCAUUCUACAGUCUCAUAAAAAAAUUCAGUGUUUAUUUUUGAUAUAUUAAAAUUAUUACACAGGCUGUAAAAAGUAAGAUAAGCUUUUAUUUCAUGCUUCAUAGAAAACAAUUUUUAAUUGAUAUUUGAAACCUAGGUAUUGCUUCCUUAUAUUAUAUCUGAUAAUCACGGUAUGUUACAUUAAUGUGGUGGUAUUGCUAUCAUUUCCAUUUGAUAGUUCUGUUUUUCUUUCUCUUUAUGGUAAUUUAUUAAUUAUUUUAGGAUUUUUAUAUUAUUGUCAUAACUUAGUUUAUUUAAUUAGUGUUAUGUUUUCUUGACUGAUCAACAAUGGUGAGAAUCAGUAUACGAUUUAAUUUAUUUUAGCCAAAUAUUAUUGCUGAACUGUGUUUGAUCUGAUAGUUGUCUAAAGACAUGUAGUAUUCAUUUUUAACAUGUUCUGCUUAGCAUAUUCUCUCUCAAAUUGAUAUUAUUGACUUUGUUAUUUUAAUUUAUUUUGUCGUACAGUUAUACUCUCCAUGGGGUGUAUAUUUGUUUUUGUGCAAUAACAUGACAUACUAAGAUUUAUUACAAACUUUGAUUCCUGUUUAAUAUUAAGUUUAGAUUUAAGUUAAUAAUGGGGCUUAAGAUCUCUUAAAGCGAAAUGCUUUGAUUUACAUAUAAAAUGUGCAUUUUAGUCUACAGGGAUAGUCAGAGGGUUUUAAUACAUUAAAACAGGGUUUUUUAUAUUUUUUGGGCUUUCUUUGAGGUUAUCUCAAGAUAUCUUUAAUUAUUUCAUAUCAUAUACGGAAAAAGAACAAAACCAAAGAGUAAAGUAGUUGAAUAAUUUCAUUGAUUUAUAGGUUAUGGUUAGAUUAUACUCGAUCAAUUUAGAAAGGUAUUGUGUAAUUAUUAUUCAGUUUUAAGUUAAAUAUUUUGAAAUGGUUGGUACAAUAUAUUGUUCUUAUUUGUGUAUUUGAAAACACUAUUAUUUUCUAUGCAGCACACUUGAUUCUUGUUACGUUUGAAUAUGCAAUCAUACCAUUUUUUACAAACAUCAAAUAACUUGUCAAGAAUUGCUUAAAAUGUUUAAACUGAUAAUUUUAUUAUUUUCUAUGCAGCACACUUGAUUCUUGUUACGUUUCAAUAUGCAAUCAUACCAUUUUUUACAAACAUCAAAUAACUUGUCAAGAAUUGCUUAAAAUGUUUAAACUGAUAAUUUUAUUAUUUUAUAUGCAGCACACUUGAUUCUUGUUACGUUUCAAUAUGCAAUCAUACCAUUUUUUACAAACAUCAAAUAACUUGUCAAGAAUUGCUUAAAAUGUUUAAACUGAUAAUUUUAUUAUUUUCUAUGCAGCACACUUGAUUCUUGUUACGUUUCAAUAUGCAAUCAUACCAUUUUUUACAAACAUCAAAUAACUUGUCAAGAAUUGCUUAAAAUGUUUAAACUGAUAAUUUUAUUAUUUUCUAUGCAGCACACUUGAUUCUUGUUACGUUUCAAUAUGCAAUCAUACCAUUUUUUACAAACAUCAAAUAACUUGUCAAGAAUUGCUUAAAAUGUUUAAACUGAUAAUUUUAUUAUUUUCUAUGCAGCACACUUGAUUCUAGUUACGUUUCAAUAUGCAAUCAUACCAUUUUUUACAAACAUCAAAUAACUUGUCAAGAAUUGCUUAAAAUGUUUAAACUGAUAAUUUUAUUAUUUUCUAUGCAGCACACUUGAUUCUUGUUACGUUUCAAUAUGCAAUCAUACCAUUUUUUACAAACAUCAAAUAACUUGUCAAGAAUUGCUUAAAAUGUUUAAACUGAUAAUUUUAUUAUUUUAUAUGCAGCACACUUGAUUCUUGUUACGUUUCAAUAUGCAAUCAUACCAUUUUUUACAAACAUCAAAUAACUUGUCAAGAAUUGCUUAAAAUGUUUAAACUGAUAAUUUUAUUAUUUUAUAUGCAGCACACUUGAUUCUUGUUACGUUUCAAUAUGCAAUCAUACCAUUUUUUACAAACAUCAAAUAACUUGUCAAGAAUUGCUUAAAAUGUUUAAACUGAUAAUUUUAUUAUUUUCUAUGCAGCACACUUGAUUCUUGUUACGUUUGAAUAUGCAAUCAUACCAUUUUUUACAAACAUCAAAUAACUUGUCAAGAAUUGCUUAAAAUGUUUAAACUGAUAAUUUUAUUAUUUUAUAUGCAGCACACUUGAUUCUUGUUACGUUUCAAUAUGCAAUCAUACCAUUUUUACAAACAUCAAAUAACUUGUCAAGAAUUGCUUAAAAUGUUUAAACUGAUAAUUUUAUUAUUUUCUAUGCAGCACACUUGAUUCUUGUUACGUUUCAAUAUGCAAUCAUACCAUUUUU